rnacentral:lncRNA from 1 species
CCCUUUCCGAUGCUGUUAAUCAAUUCAAGUAUGUUCAUUUUCUCCAAAGUUUCUAGCUUUUCUAUUAAUUUAUUUCGAAGUUAAUACCUGAAUCCCCCUCAAAACAAAGAAAAAAGAGACUCGAUUUUGGAUUCCGGAUCCAGAAAUCACAUGCAAGCUCUCAUAAGGAAAAAAGAAAAUCAUAUGCGUGAUGUUCAUGAAUGUAUGGAUGAGCUCACACGCAGGCAUCCACGCGGUGGUGCACCCAUAUAUCACUCCUCACAUAACGUAUCUGUCCAUAAAUCUUUAAAUGCACCCCCGACCAAUCUGUUUUCUCACAUUUCUGGUCUGUCUCUGCAGGUUAAUGCCAUUCCUUAUAUUAUCUGGACAGUUAUGUCCGCCAGGAAUUGAAGGAACACUAUUUGCCCUCUUUAUGUCAAUAAACAACUUAGGUUCCACACUGGGAUCUUUUGUGGGUGCUGGGUUGGCCUCAAUUUUGAACCUCUCCUCGGGAUCUUUUGACAACCUUGGUUUGGGCAUUGCUAUCCAAGUCCUGUGCACUUUCAUUCCAAUUGCUUUUCUAUUUUUGAUACCAAAAGAAGCCACAGGGAUAUCAGCAUAGGUAGGGAUAAUUCAUUUUCCCAAUACAAGAAGUCAUUCACUUAGCAACGGCAAAAUGAGCAGAAACAUUGCUACCGAAUUUAUUUCGUCACUGUCAAGUAGUAGCUGGGAUAUACGAAAUGCACUCUUGAGGAUUGAAAGAAAUAGGUGCCUUUGAUUUAUAGUUCUGAAAUUAACCUUUGGUUUUGAUGAUGAUACACUGAUGUACAAGGUUUGUAGAACAAUUUUGAUCAGUUCAGUCAGAAAUACAGAAAUUAUUACUGGUGCAAUGUUUAUGGUAAGCAAGGAUCAGGUUGCUAUUCCUGUGGUACCAGAAAAGUGCAAUUAGUGCUUUUGGUAGCGUUGUUGUUAUUGUUCUGAGAUAUAAAAGAUAAACGAUAGAACGAACAUGUUUUUCUGUUGGUUUUGUAAAGUAAAUUCACUUUAAAAUUGUGUCUUUCAUGUUUUUAUUUCUUUCUUUUUCAACUAAACAUGUUAUGUCUUUUCUGUAUUUAUUUAUUCCGUUGUUAUUGUUCUGAGAUAUGAAUUUUGAGGUAUUAUCAACACUCUGCAAGAAACAUGGUGGGAAACAAAUGGCUGACAUGGUGUUAGUAAACAUGGUGGGCUUGGAUUUUUAGCGCCGGAUCGCAAAUUAAUUGCAUGUCAAAAUGUUAUAUUAUAACACCCAUCCAUCUUAAAAAUGCAAAAAUAAAUGAGAGAAAUUUGGAUUUUGUUAUUUAUAAAGAAAUAAAAAAAACAUUAUCUUGUCAGUGGCGUUGGCUAUGUUCUUACUUUUUUUUUUCUUUUUUUUGCAUUAAAUGGUUAAUUUAGUUGGAAGCUAAUUUAAAUUUUUAAGGGUAUACGAGGGUCUAUUCUAGAAUUUGUUUGAGAAAAUAUUUAACCUCAGUUAUUCAUAAACUAAUCCGAAGACAUGUAGGAAUCCCGUAUAUAUGGAGGUUUAUUUAAUUAAAUUAAAAUUAAAUAAACUAAAAAACUAGAAUUGAAGGAGAAGUUCUUGUACCCAAGAGACAUUUCUGUAUUAAUUGGAUCAGUGAAAUGAUAAAACUUUUCUUAACUAAAAAAAAAAAACCCUUUAAUCUAUAUAUUGAGGAUAAGGUUGUUUUUUAAAUGACGUAAUUGUCUUUUAUAAAUUAAUUGUGUAAUAAAAUUAUUAAUUUAACACUAAAAUAAAAUAAUAUAACACCUACUACUCAUCAGGGGUGUUUUGGUUUUUUUUAAAUUUUAGAAUAGCCUAUUUACUUUUAUACCAUAAAAAACAUAUUUAACAUAACUCUACCAGAAUGUAUUUUUUAUCAUUUGACAUUAAUUUUUUUUUUGUAAAAUUAAAGGUUAUUCAAGUGUAUUAUUGUAAAUAAUAUAUACAAAAUAUUAUUUAAAAAAAUUUAUUGGCGCGUAUGGACUGCCCCUGCACCAUUUGGAAAGCGUAUGUGAGGCCGUCUGGCCACCAAACACCACCUUUCACGGUGGCAUUUUAAAGAUCCCGGCUUCCCCAACGUUAUGGGAUGUCGUGUGUCCUAAAUGCUUAUCGGGUUUGGCGCUGAUAAGCCCCCCACUCUCUCUCUCUCCACCUUGAAUUCUAUACUGGCCCCUUCAAAAUUCAGAUUAACCCCUACAAUUUAUUAUUUCCUUCAUAUUUUGUCCAUGUCCUUUUCAUUAUUAUUUUUUAUUUUGGAAUUAUCUAUAAAAUCAAAAAUAUUUUUCAAUUUCACUCCUACAAUUUUUAACAUUUAAAUAAUCAAUUAAAUUACAAAUAUUUUCAAUUUCACUCUCAUAAUUUUUUAAUCUUUCAAAUUUGGUUCUCAUUAUUUUGAUUGCUAUUUUUUUUGUUUGUGAUCAUUUUCUAAUUUUUUUUUUACAAUGUCAUCCUCAUUUUUUUUUUCCAGAAAGUUUUGAUUUAUCCUCAUUCUUUUCGUUGUUUAUCUUAUUUGCUUUUGCAAGUUUUUUUAUUAAUACUUUUUUUUAUGAUUUCAUCCUUCAAAAUUAUAUUGUUAGUUUUAGAGAAUCGACCAUGUUUUAGAAAAUUCACUCCGAGUCUGCUUGGUUUUUAGAUAUUCUUUUUGUUGCUAUUUUUUUUUGCUUUUAUAAUUUUUUUUAUUAAUAUCUUUUCACGAUUUCAUUAUUUAAAAUUAAAUUAGUUAGGAUCUAAACUUCUUGAUUAAACAUGAAUAUAAGAUUUUACGGGUUGCGAAUUUUACAGAUUAGAUCAAGUUUAAAAUGUUUGCUCCGAGUUUGCUUGGUUUAAUUCUCCAUUUUUUAAGAUGAUGUUUUCUUAUUUCUUAUCCCUUUUUUUAGUUGUGUUUUGUUAUUUUUUAUAGUUUGCUUUCAAUAAGGUUAGCUCCCCAUGUUUAUGACCAUGAUCACUAGUUGCAAAUGUUAAUGCAGUUUCACUUUUGUUUUUUUUUUUUUUUAAGUUGAUAAGUUUCAUCAUUCAAACUUUUUUUUUCUUUCUAUCAGAUUAUCCUAACUUAUACCCAUGGUUGCGAGCGAGUUCACCUGAUUUAAUAAAGCUUUUUUAAAAUUAUUUUUCUUAUAAUUUCAUCUUUCAACAUUAAAUUAAUUAAUAAUUCAAGUGGGAUUAAGUCUGAUUUUUUUUCAUUAAUAUUUUCUUAUUAGUUUAUUUAUUAUUGUUGUAUUUUUUUUUACUCAUAUCAUGUAAAUUACUAAUGCAUUGAAUUUUUCUACCCUAACAAUUUUUUUUUUAAAAAAGAACUGUCUGCACGCGAGAAUUACAAAUUGAAAUGGAUCCACACAAAUGGCAAGAGAUUAAAUGUAGAAAAUAAAAGGAGGGACCUCGUUGCAAAUAAAAAAAAAAUAGUAGGAGGGCGAUUAAACAAAAAGUUUCACGAGCGGAGGAAGCUACUCAAUUAUCAGAGCCUGGUUUCGAUCCAGGGACCUGUGGGUUAUGGGCCCACCACGCUUCCGCUGCGCCACUCUGAUUGUUGAAUACAUUUUGUAUCGAAACAUAUAUAAUGUAAUUUUCAGACAAAGUUCAGUUCCGAUCUUUAUUUCUCUUCUUCGGCUGUGUCUCUCUUUCCCUUCCCUGCACCAACACCAUAAAAAAAUUACUAGGAAAACAAUUCAAAACUUUGAUCAAAACCCACAAAAGAUAUCAAUCAAAGAAGCAGUCUUUAAUAAAAAAGGGAAUGAGAAGGAGACCUGGUAUUGGUGGGUUAAAAACAGCUGCUGCUGCAAGGGUAACUACUGUUUCUUCUGUUGGAUUAUUGAUUCAUCGGUUUCCAUUUGGUUAUUUAUUAAUGCUCAAUAUAAACAGUUUCCGAGUUUUUGCUUUUCAUUUCUUGAAAUGGUAUUGAAGGAUCAAUAUCGGAUACUUGGAGAAAAUGGAGCAAGAUUAAAAACUGAUCUUAUGAAAGAACAGCUUGCCACUUUUCGUUCUCAGCUUGAAGAAUUUGCCCGCUAACACAAGGUCAGCUGAUGAAUUUCUGUGUUAUAUCAACGAACUUUACCGUUUGGAGAUAAAAAGUUCGGAUUUUUAAUACUAAAGUUGUGAAUUUUAGAGGUGUUUAUUUCUGUUACGGUAAGAAAGAUGAGUUCCCGUGUGCUUCUUUGAUAUUUUUUUACUGGCCCAGUUGCUAAUUUUGUAAAACUUUAUCGGGUUUUUUUACUGGCCCGGUUGCUUCUUUGAUUUAUAGUUCUCAAAUUAACCUUUGGUUUUGAUGAUGAUACACUGAUGUACAAGGUUUGUAGAACAAUUUUGAUCAGUUCACUCAGAAAUACAGAAAUUAUUAAUGGUGCGGUGUUUAUGGAAAGCAAGGGCCAGGUUGCUAUCCCUGUGGUACCAGAAAAGUGCAGUUAGUGCCUUCGGGUAGCGUUGAUGUUUAGUUAUUCUCUUGAGAUAGAAAAGAUAAAGAUUGAAGGGAUAGAACAAACAUGUUUUUCUAUUGGUUUUGAAAAGGAAAUUCACUUUAAAAUUAUGCCUUUCAUGUUUUUAUUUCAUUCUUUUUCAACUAAAGAUGCUGUGUCUUUUCUGUAUAUAUUUAUUCUGUCAAAUGCAAUCUUAGAUAUGAAUUAUCUUGUCAGUGGCCCUGGCUAUGUUCUUACUUUUUUUUUCAUUAUUUUGUUUUUGUUGCAUUAAAUGGUUAAUUUAGUUGGAAGCUAAUUUUAAUUUUUUCUGAUGUACUAGAUUCAUACGAGGGUCUAUUCUAGAAUUUGUUUUAGAAAAUAUUUAACCUCAGUUAUUCAUAAACUAAUCUGAAGACAUGUAGGAAUCCCGUAUAUAUGGAGGUUUAUUGAAUUAAAUUAAAAUUAAAAAAACCUAAAAAACUAGAAGUGAAGGAGAAGUUCUUGUAUCCAGGAUUAGUGAAAUGAUAAAAUUUUCCUUGAUUAAAAAAAAAAUUUACAAAUUGUUUUUUAUAAAUUAUAAACGGUUAGAAUAGUGAUUUUAAUUUUUAUUGUGCAAUAAAAUUAUUAAUUUAACACUAGAAUAAAUUAAUAUAAUGUUUACUACCUGAGGAAAAGAUAGCAAUAAUAUUAAAAAUGAAGAGCAAAGCAUCUCUCAAAAGCCAUGAAAACCAACUGUGCAAGUCGGCUGUGCAAGCUAAAUUGCCUCUUGUCCUGUUUCCUGACUCUUUCCAAGCUGAUGACACACUAAGCUUAAAGGAAAAGCAGAGCAGGUUCUAAGCAUUAAAAGCAUCAAAAUGAUUCUUUGGGUGCGGCCGACAGCAUUAAGCCUAAAGGAAAAACAGGUGUGCAAGACUCAAAUUUGAGUUGCGUGAGUUUUGUAAAAGUGAAUCGAAUUCCAGUUGGAUGAAUUGGAGAUUUUGUUUUUCAAAAUUAGAAUAAAAAAUUUACCACUUUGUAAGCUUUGUAACCUGUUAAUUAUAAUAAAUACCGUUGAAAGCCGAAACAGAGGGAGAGAACGUAUAAAAUCAAGAAAGUGAAGAUUUGAUGAGAAUUAAAGACAUUUGUUUGUUUUUUGGUGUUCGAAAGAUGAUAGAAUGGGUAAAGCAGCUGAACAAGGCAUUUGGGGCUUCAUUUUUAUGGCUUAUUUGCUUGAUUCAUUUCACUCAGGUUUCUUUUUCUCUCUUUUUGCCCACUUUGAUUUGAUGAUCUUUCUCUUUUUUCCUGCUUUGAUGAUUGUUGGAUCAAAUUUGAUGAGCUCUAUAGGAAGUUGAUCUGUUGGGGUUUUUGUGAAAUCGGUUGUUUUAUUUUUUGAUAAAAAGAAAGAGGAGAUGUCAGAGUUUGUAACAUUGUUGUUUUUGGUUUCUGGGUUUUUGUGGGUUUGUUGAUUUUUGAAUAUUGUAGGGGCUUUGGAAAUCCAGAUGGAACUGAUGUUCUUAAGAAAUUUCUUGUCCUUUUUUAUUUUUUGAGAAUGUUGUAGCUUGCAUGGAAUUUUGAAGUUAGCCUUUUUUGCUUUUAAGAGCAACAUUUCUCCUGAUUUUUGCUCUUAAAGAAAAUAAAACAUAAAUUAAGGUAAUGGGAAUUUGGCUCUUUGGUUUGUGCUUCUUGCAUGUGAAGGGUUUCUUUUUUGGAAGAAAAAUAAGUACUUCUAACAUGUUGCUUAAAAUUUCUAAAUUGUCCAAAGCCUUUCUAUACCAAUUGGAUGAUCUACUCUUGCAUAAUAUGUGGUGUUCUAUUAAAAUGUUACGACCUAGUUCCUCUGGGGUCUUGUUAGGAUUUUGCAAGUAAUCUUCAAGUUGCUGAUGUUUUUAUUAUUGAACAAUUUGAUGUCCAACUUAACAACGGUGUUUCUAUAACAUGUGAGUGUAGGGUUUUAGAUCCUUUGUAUGGACAGCAGUUUCGUAUCAGCUAAAAGACAAUCUUAAGCUGUCACCAUCAGCCUCACAAUUCGUGUCUUCAAUAGCAUUUUUCCCGUGGAGCAUAAAGCCAUUAUACGGGUAUGUUUCUUUGUUCUGUUCAAUUUCUUGAUAGGCCUAUGGUGCAACUUAAAGAAUGAAGGCAGAUAAGAAAAAUUUUGGUGUUGAAAUGCUCUAGUUUAUAGUGAAAGAAUCUGUUGUGUUGUAGGACAUUGGUAAUUUCCUAACGGAGUAGCUGUUUUGGCACCUUCUUUAUAUUGCCUUUGUUAAUAGUAUGUGAAAACCAAAACAGGGAUUGUAUAUGCAUUACAAAUUACAAUGUAGUACUUAUUUGGCAUUUUCUUUACUGAUGGAAAUUGAAGAAUAGUGUCCUUUUUGUUAUACAUAAUUUUUGUGUAUGUUUUUGGAAACUUAACUUGCAUCCUGCUUGCAGAAUUUUGUCUGAUUGCAUCCCGAUAAAAGGAAGGAAAAGGAUACCAUACCUAGUAAUUGCAACUCUUCUCUCUCUAGUUCCCUGGCCUAUGCUAGGCAUAGAUUCCAACUUGAGGAGUUCCCAAUGGCAUCUCACAGUCCUCUUGACAGUGCAUAACCUGGGCUCUGCCAUGGCAGAUGUUGUGGUUGAUGCAAUGAUUGCUGAGGCAGUAAGAUCUGAGAGGUUUGUGCGUGCUGUCUUUUAAAGCAAAUCUAAGCACAUUUUCACUAAUUUGGUAGUUGAGUCUUUCAUCAUUUUUAGGUACACACAAUUUAGCUACAGAUGCUCUUAGUAUUUUGUUGGUUGACAAUGCAGGAAGCAAUUGGCAUGCAACCUAACUAUCUAUUGGUGUUAACUUGGGAUUUUAUUAUAAAAAAUGUGGAUGAGUGGGAGGCUUUCCCUGUCAAUUAUUAUAUGGGCAUACCUUUCCAUAUGCCCAAGAAAUCUGGAUGGUCUGCCAUUAUGUUGUUGGAUUGUUCUCUCAAAUAGGCAAUUUAGUUAAGUUUUUUUAGAAUGUGAAAGCUUACCUGUACCAUUGAACAGGGCAUCAUUUGCUGGAGAUCUGCAGUCCAUAACUUGGUUGUCAAUGGCUGUGGGUGGAAUUUGGGGCAGUUUGUUAGGAGGACAUGCAUUGACCAACUUACAAAUAGACAAGAUUUUCCUCCUUUUUUCUGUACUGCCAGCCAUACAGUUAUUAUCAUGUGGUUUGGUUGGGGAGAAUUCUGCAGACAGUAAAGUUUCUCAUGACUCUGCCAAUUCAAGCAACUCCCAUCCAGGGAAUGGGAAUGGUAAUAUUUUGGACCAAGAUAAUAUCUUGCUGAAGAAGUCCAGCGCAAGUGCUACAAGAAGAAAGAGGAGCCAAAAGAAUAGCAACAAGAGGGCAAGUAUGAGAACUAAAUCCCUGAUACCUGAGAAGGGCAAUUCCUUAAUAUCACGUUGGUUCCACUCUCUGAAAACAGCUACUUACAGUUUGUUACGUACUUUUAGGCAGCCAAUCAUUUUGAGGUAACGACCAAAACCUUUUAUAAUAGCCAGUUGAAUAUUCUGUAGAAUUUGAAGUUCAUGUGUAUGUACGCUCCUCCUCUAGAUUUAGCAUUGUUAGCCACCCAAAGAGAUGAUUGUUUUCACUUUGAUAUUAAAUAUAUGAUUGUCAAUGAUCCAUAAUAGACCACAGAAUGAAUGCUUGAUUUAUUUGAAUUUUGCCAGAUUUGUUUCCACCUAUUGUAGGUGUAUAUGCUGCUUAAUAUACCUACCCUGGUAUCAAUUUAGUUUAUUCUUCUAAUCUAUUUGAUUUUGGGUUUUACUUUGGUCUUUGGAAGACCAGACCAAUGGCUUGGUUUUUCCUAGCACAGAUUACUGUUCCAAACCUCUCAACAGUCAUGUUCUAUUACCAGACAGAGGUCUUGAACUUGGAUGGAUCCUUUUUGGGGACUGCACGUGUUGUUGGAUGGUUAGGCCUCAUGCUAGGAACCUUCACGUACAAUCGCUACUUAAAAACCAUGAAACUACGGAAGAUUCUCUUGUGAGUGCUUAACAGCGUUGAGUACAUUUUUCAACAAACAUGUUUAUUCUACUUAAUGUGCUUAAUAUUGCUUAUGCAGGUGGGCUCAUGUUGGGCUGUCUUUGUUGACCCUCCUAGAUGUAAUUUUAGUGUCUCGAUUGAAUCUUGCCUAUGGAGUUUCAGAUAAGAUCAUGGUUGUCUCAGGAUCUGCCCUUGCCGACGCUGUUAAUCAAUUCAAGCACGUUCAUUUUCUCCAAAGUUUCUAGCUUUUCUAUUAAUUUAUUUUGAAGUCAAUACCUGUAUCCCCCUCAAAACAAAGAAAAAGGAGACUCGAUUUUGGAUUCCGGAUCCAGAAAUCACAUGCAAGCUCUCAUAAGGAAAAAAGAAAAUCAUAUGCGUGAUGUUCAUGAAUGUAUGGAUGAGCUCACACAGACGCAUACACGCUCUCAUGCACCCAUAAGUCACUCCUCACAUAACCUAUCUGUCCAUAAAUCUUUAAAUGCACCCCCAACCAAUCUGUGUGCUCAC